ACUCAUCCAACUGUUUCCUGUUUCUGCGGGUGCUUGGCUUAGUGCUGACAAGGGACUCCGCCCUUGCUAUUGUCAGGUCCAACACUAAGACUGUGUCCAUGUUAGAACUCAUAGAAGUUAAUGGAACCCCUGGUAGUCAGCUCUCUACUCCGCGUACAGGCAAGUCGCCAAGCCCGUCACCCACCAGCCCAGGAAGCCUGCGGAAGCAGAAGAGCUCUCAGCAUGGCGGCUCCUCUACUUCACUUGCAUUCACCAAAGUCUGCAACUCGAUGGAUGAGAACGACAGCCCUGGAGAAGUGUAGGAGGAAGGCUUCCAGAUUCCAGCUACAAUCACAGAACGAUAUGAAAUUGGAAGAACAAUAGGAUGGAAAUUUUGCUGUUGUCAAGGAGUGUGUAGAAUGAUCGACUGCUAGAGAGCAUGCUCUGAAAAUUAUCAAGAAAAGCAAAUGUCGAGGCAAAGAGCACAUGAUCCAGAAUGAAGUAUCUAUUUUAAGAAGAGUGAAGCAUCUCAAUAUCGUUCUUCUGAUUGAGAAGAUGGAUGUGCCAACUGAACUGUACCUUGUCAUGGAAUUAGUAAAGCGGGGAGACCUUUUUGAUGCCAUUACUUCCACUAACAUAUACACCAAGAGAGACAUCAGUGGGAUGCUGUACAACCUAGCCAGUGCCAUCAAAUACCUGCACAGCCUGAACAUCGUCCACCGGGAUAUCAAGCCAGAGAGCCUGCUGGUGUAUGAGCACCAACAUGGCAGCAAAUCACUGAAGCUGGGUGACUUUGGACUGGUCACCAUUGUAGACGGCCCCCUGUACACAGUCUGUGGCACCCCAAACUACGUGGCUCCAAAAAUCAUUGCAGAGACUGGAUAUGGCCUCAAGGUGGACAUCUGGGCAGCUGAUGUAAUCACUUACAUCCUGCUAUGUGGUUUCCCUCCAUUCCGUGGAAGUGGUGAUGACCAGGAGGUGCUUUUUGAUCAGAUUUUGAUGGGGCAAGUGGACUUUCCUUCUCCAUAUUGGGAUAAUGUUUCCGAUUCUACAAAGGAGCUCAUUACCAUGAUGCUGUUGGUCGAUGUAGAUCGGCGAUUUUCUGCUGUUCAAGUCCUUGCAUCCCUGGGUUAAUGAUGAUGGCCUCCCAGAAAAUGAACAUUAGCUGUCAGUAGCUGGAAAGAUAAAGAAGCAUUUCAACACAGGCCCCAAGCCGAAUAGCACAGCAGCUGGAGUUUCUGUCAUAGCAGUAAGCAUCUGAAAUAUCCACCUAUAACUUCUUUAAAGCAACCCACCUAAGAGACAGGCAUUACUCAGGAGAUUCUCCAGCCAGAGACAGCAGAAUGGGUCAUUUCUUUAGACAG